GUUGAAACACCAGUUCCCGUACGAUCAUCGAAGUGAAGCAACGUCGAGCCUGAUCAGUACCUAGAUGGGUGACCGCUUGAGAAUGCCAGGUACAGU